CCUACGGGGGGCAGCAGUGGGGAAUAUUGCACAAUGGGGGAAACCCUGAUGCAGCGACGCCGCGUGAGUGAAGAAGUACCUCGGUACGUAAAGCUCUAUCAGCAGGGAAGAAAAUGACGGUACCUGACCAAGAAGCCCCGGCUAACUACGUGCCAGCAGCCGCGGUAAUACGUAGGGGGCAAGCGUUAUCCGGAUUUACUGGGUGUAAAGGGAGCGUAGACGGCAGCGCAAGUCUGGAGUGAAAUCCCGGGGCUCAACCCCGGAACUGCUUUGGAAACUGCGCGGCUCGAGUGCAGGAGGGGCAGGCGGAAUUCCUAGUGUAGCGGUGAAAUGCGUAGAUAUUAGGAGGAACACCAGUGGCGAAGGCGGCCUGCUGGACUGUAACUGACGUUGAGGCUCGAAAGCGUGGGGAGCAAACAGGAUUAGAUACCCUUGUAG
rnacentral:rRNA from 1 species